CCCAGACAGCCAGGAUGUUGGCUUAGAAGCAGCCAUCAUUUAAAGAAAGCGUAAUAGCUCACUGGUCGAGUCGGCCUGCGCGGAAGAUGUAACGGGGCUAAACCAUGCACCGAAGCUGCGGCAGCGAACGUAUCACCCAAGACAACUUUACGGAGUUGACGAUUGACGGAGCGAAGCGACGUCAAAGCGUUCAUUAAAGUCGAGUUGGCUUAGGGAUACGUUCGUUGGGUAGGGGAGCGUUCUGUAAGCCUGUGAAGGUGGCCUGUGAGGGUUGCUGGAGGUAUCAGAAGUGCGAAUGCUGACAUAAGUAACGAUAAAGCGGGUGAAAAGCCCGCUCGCCGGAAGACCAAGGGUUCCUGUCCAACGUUAAUCGGGGCAGGGUGAGUCGACCCCUAAGGC
rnacentral:rRNA from 1 species